rnacentral:rRNA from 1 species
ACGGGAGGCAGCAGUGGGGAAUAUUGCGCAAUGGGGGAAACCCUGACGCAGCAACGCCGCGUGAAGGACGAAGGUCUUCGGAUUGUAAACUUCUGUCGCAAGGGAAGAAACAAAUGACGGUACCUUGUGAGAAAGUCACGGCUAACUACGUGCCAGCAGCCGCGGUAAUACGUAGGUGACAAGCGUUAUCCGGAUUUACUUGGUGUAAAGGGCGCGUAGGCGGUCUUGCAAGUCAGUUGUGAAAUGCCGGGGCUUAACCCCGGAGCUGCAAUUGAAACUGUAGGACUUGAGUGUCGGAGAGGAAAGCGGAAUUCCUAGUGUAGCGGUGAAAUGCGUAGAUAUUAGGAGGAACACCGGUGGCGAAGGCGGCUUUCUGGACGAUAACUGACGCUGAGGCGCGAAAGUGUGGGGAGCAAACAGGAUUAGAUACCCUGGUA